UUACAUCCGGGAAGCGCCGGGCUUAGGUUACGAGGUUGAGGUACGUUGUAUUUUGUGCACUAUGGUGAUAAUUGAGGCAGAAGUUUUUGGCCUAGUUAAGAUGCACGAGGUUCAGGGAUCUUGUAGUGAUCGGUCUACGACAGCUUUGGAAACCUCUAGGUUCGAAAACCUGAGGUAUUCUUUUGAUCACGCGGCGGCCACGUGCAACCCUGGCGCUGAGUCAGAAGUCGAGCGCGCACGGGUCACGGGCCCUCCGACAAAGGAUCGGUGCACCUGAUGACCGGCAAAGGUCGCGAAUUCCGCUGUCGGUGUCAAGUGGCCAUCUUGAAGCUACUCCGCCACUGUUAAAUAAAUAGUGACACCGAAUCCUGAUACCCGCCACAUUUAGAUCCAGAAAGAAGCUGAACUAAUCGUUCCAAUGGAUGACAGGAAACAUGACAAGAUAAUCAAGAAAUUCAAAAUGUAUGGGUGAAGUCCUGUUUAUUUAGAAUCUUGUGGUGCACUGCCAAACGUGAUUUUUUUUUAAUCGCAACAUGUUGCAUAUUGAGUGGUGAAUAAUCUGUAAACUAUCAAGUUGGUGGUCUCCGUAUAGGCCAGAAUAUUACUUCGGCGUAAGUAUGACAUUUAGUAGAGAA